AUGAUACUAGUAAAAUAAUUACACUGCUUUGUCAAGGCAGCAUUACAGGUUAGAACCCUGUGUACCAUA
rnacentral:tRNA from 1 species